rnacentral:rRNA from 1 species
GAUGAACGCUGGCGGCGUGCUUAACACAUGCAAGUCGAACGAUGAAGCCCAGCUUGCUGGGUGGUUUCGUGGCGAACGGGUGAGUAACACAUGAGUAACCUGCCCUCCACUCUGGGAUAAGCCUGUGCAACUGAGUCUAAUACCUGACAGGAGCGACCACCGCCCGGAGGGUGUAGGAGAGAUUGAUCGGUUUUGGAUGGCCUCUCGGCCUAUCAGCUUGUUGGUGAGGUAAUGGCAGCCCAAGGCGACGCCGGGUAGCCGGCCCUGGAGGGUGGCCGGCGACAAGGGGACUGCGACACGGCGCAGACGCCUACGGGAGGCAGUAGUGGGGAAUCUUGCACAACGGGCGCAAGCCUGAUGCAGCGGCGUCGCGUGCGGGAUGACGGCUUUCGGGGUGUAAACCUCUUUCAGUAGGGAAGAAGCGAAAGUGACGGUACCUGCAGAAGAAGCACCGGCUAACUACGUG